rnacentral:rRNA from 1 species
UACGUAGGGUCCGAGCGUUGUCCGGAAUUAUUGGGCGUAAAGGGCUCGUAGGCGGUCUGUUGCGUCGGGAGUGAAAACUUACAGCUUAACUGUGAGCGUGCUUCCGAUACGGGCAGACUUGAGGUAUUCAGGGGAGAACGGAAUUCCUGGUGUGAGCGGUGAAAUGCGCAGAUAUACAGGAGGAACACCGGUGGCGAAGGCGGUUCUCUGGGAAUAUCCUGACGCUGAGGAGCGAAAGUGUGGGGAGCGAACAGG